rnacentral:rRNA from 1 species
UACGGAGGAGGCAAGCGUUAUCCGGAAUUAUUGGGCGUAAAGCGUCCGCAGGUGGCACCUCAAGUCUGCUGUCAAAGACCGGGGCUUAACCCCAGAAAGGCAGUGGAAACUGAAGUGCUAGAGUGCAGUAGGGGUAGAGGGAAUUCCCGGUGUAGCGGUGAAAUGCGUAGAGAUCGGGAAGAACAUCGGUGGCGAAAGCGCUCUGCUGGACUGCAACUGACACUCAGGGACGAAAGCUAGG